GAACGUUCUCAUUCUGCCGCAGUCUGUGUUGUGUUCAGCAGCUGUUUUGUGUCCCUGAGAAAAAACGUCGAGUUAAAUCAUGUCUGACGAAGGAAAACUUUUCAUUGGUGGUCUGAGCUAUGAUACCACCGAGCAGUCCUUGGAGGAGGCCUUCUCCAAAUAUGGAACCAUUGCUAAAGUGGAUGUAAUCAGAGAUCGUGAGACUGACCGUUCCAGAGGAUUUGGUUUUGUUACAUUUGAAAAUCCAGAGGAUGCCAAGGAUGCCAUGUCUGCAAUGAAUGGAAAGUCUGUUGAUGGCCGCAUGAUUCGCGUUGAUGAAGCUGGCAAAUCCGGCGGGAGAUCUGGUGGCUUCAGAGGAGGUUCUGGCGGUGGCAGAGGGUUCUUUAGGGGCGGCAGGGGCAGAGGUGGUGGAGGAGGAUACGGUGGAGACAGAAGCUAUGGCAGUGACCGUAGUUAUAGCGGAGGUGAUAGGAGCUACAGUGGUGGGGAAAGAAGCUAUGGUGGAGGUGACCGAUCUUAUGGCGGUGGUGGAUACUCCAACAGAAGUGGAGGAUACUCUGGUGGCGGUGGUGGCUAUAGAGACAACAGUCUUUGAUUUUUAGGAGCACAGGGGGUUAUGACCGUUCAGGUGGCUCCUACAGAGACAGCUAUGACAGCUAUGCUUCACACGAGUAAAAAAAAAUCCUGAUUGCAAGAUCAUCCCUUCGCUGGCUGUAUUUAAAAAGAUGUGCUCUUUGAAGACCUUUUUUUAUUUUUACUUUUUGUUUUCUGGUUCAAGUGUUCUAUUAAAGUACAGACUUUUUUUUUUUUUUUUUUAACCGUGAUUAAAUCAUCCACAAGUUGUUCCUCAUUGAGGCGCUACUUAAAAUCUGAGCAUUCAGUUACUGUAAGAAUUCAAGCCUGUACCUACCAUUAUACCUUGUGAUGUGUAGUAGAUGCUCACAGGGGUUUGAAAUUGUCCUUUUGUUUUCUUUUAGUGUGUUUAAGAAACUGUCUCAAUGCGUAAAAUUGACCUGUCCAACACAGCCUGAAAGCUUCUAAGACCAAUUUCUAUACAAACCUUUCGGCCAAUUCGUAAUUGCAGGCAUUUGCAUUUAAACUGAAUUUUAAAGCGGCAGACCUGCCACCUGAAAGUAUAUUCUAAUCAGAUCCUCAAUAGAAGCUUGAUAAGCUGUGAUGUGCUCUUUACGGCUCCUUGCCACCUCCAUUUUGUGAUGCAUUCCUUUAGUGAAGCAAGGCAGGCAUGUUGUCUCCAGCAAACCUCCUUGAAGUUGCUAAAGAUUUGUAAAUAUUCCUUUUAUACAAAGAGUAAACUACUUCAGUGGGGUGUUAAGCCUCAAUUACAGUCUUCUCUUGGUAACCCAAGGUAUUUUACUCUUUGCAUCGCCUAGAAUUUAUUUUUAAAGUAUGCUCUACUGUGGACUGAACUUAUCCUCUUAAAUGUGUCAAGGUUGUGUUCCUUCUGGAAAAGAAAUGUGCUCUGUUCUGUAUAUCAACACCUCAAAUAUUUUUUCUUUUUGUAUUAAAUCUGGCUUCAUGAAGCCCAUUAAAAAUGGAUGGAAAAUG